CGCGUAGGUGGCUUGUCAGGUCUGAUGUGAAAUCCUGGGGCUCAACCCCAGGCCUGCAUCGGAAACCGGCUUGCUCGAGUCUGGGAGAGGAGAGUGGAAUUCCUGGUGUAGCGGUGAAAUGCGUAGAUAUCAGGAGGAACACCGGUAGCGAAGGCGGCUCUCUGGAACAGUACUGACACUGAGGCGCGAAAGCUAGGGGAGCAAACAGGAUUAGAUACCCUGGUAGUCCUAGCCGUAAACGAUGGACACUAGGUGUCGGGGGUGUCGACUCCCCCGGUGCCGAAGCUAACGCAUUAAGUGUCCCGCCUGGGGAGUACGGCCGCAAGGCUAAA
rnacentral:rRNA from 1 species